UACGUAGGGUGCAAGCGUUAAUCGGAAUUACUGGGCGUAAAGCGUGCGCAGGCGGUGAUGUAAGACAGAUGUGAAAUCCCCGGGCUCAACCUGGGAACUGCAUUUGUGACUGCAUCGCUGGAGUGCGGCAGAGGGGGGAUGGAAUUCCGCGUGUAGCAGUGAAAUGCGUAGAUAUGCGGAGGAACACCGAUGGCGAAGGCAAUCCCCUGGGCCUGCACUGACACUCAUGGACGAAAGCUAGGGGAGCGAAAGGG
rnacentral:rRNA from 1 species